AUAAAAAGGCUUCAUGAAAAGGAGAGGGAGCCGAACAGUUCUUCGGCCGGAGUAUUGGGUUGGUGGAGUCGAGUCUAAGCCCACCUAUCAACACUACGCUUGAUAAGAAAAACAGGCCCGGGCCCAUUCAAAGCCAAUGACAAAGAGGGAUGCCGGGCCUAUAUGUUGAAGACGCAAUUUCUCCUGGCCCAUUCAAAGCCUUCAAGUAGGCUACCACGUCCCUCUUCCAGUCUCCACCCUCCAGUCUAGGAGAGAGAGAUUAUCGGUUCAUACAGUUGGGGAAAUUUAGCUCCAAUGGCUCAGAUUCCAAGCGUUCACAUCCCUGAGGGAGCAGUCCCAGAAGGAGCUCAUAAACAUCCUCAAGAAUGUGAGUCUACUUACUCAAUGAUUUCCCUGUUUGGUUCUCGAGAAAAAACGUAGAAAAGAAAAUAGCCAGGAGAAGCCGUGGCCGUUUUCUUCUCGUGGCUAUUUUCAGCCUACUUCUAUGAAUAAAAGUUCUUGAUUACCUAUGGAAAAAAAAAAAGAAAAAAAAGGCAAUAGCCGAAGUAUACGGAUGGACAUAUACAAGAGUAGCAAGUGUAUCUUGUCGGCUACAUUGAACUGAUGAUAUCUUUCCUAGCUUAAUGAGAUUAACAUUUACUGCUUUUCCCUUCAUCUUUUCUUUCCAUGACUUUGCGAAGUGCGAGGAAUUGAAUGGCAUUCCUCUCUUCUUUAAUUUGAAUUGAAAAAGAAAAAAAGAGUAUUUCUAGUCUUUGUGGAAA